ACGGAGGGUGCAAGCGUUAUCCGGAAUUAUUGGGCUUAAAGGGUGCGUAGGUUGUUUUAUAAGUCAGUGGUGAAAGUCUGUCGCUUAACGAUAGGAUUGCCAUUGAUACUGUAGGACUUGAGUAUGGAUGAGGUAGGCGGAAUGCCUAGUGUAGCGGUGAAAUGCGUAGAUAUUAGGCGGAACACCGAUGGCGAAGGCAACUUACUGGGCCAUGACUGACGCUGAGGCACGAAAGCGUGGGGAUCAAACAG
rnacentral:rRNA from 1 species